UCGAGCGGAAACGAGUUAUCUGAACCUUCGGGGGACGAUAACGGCGUCGAGCGGCGGACGGGUGAGUAAUGCCUAGGAAAUUGCCCUGAUGUGGGGGAUAACCAUUGGAAACGAUGGCUAAUACCGCAUAAUGCCUACGGGCCAAAGAGGGGGACCUUCGGGCCUCUCGCGUCAGGAUAUGCCUAGGUGGGAUUAGCUAGUUGGUGAGGUAAUGGCUCACCAAGGCGACGAUCCCUAGCUGGUCUGAGAGGAUGAUCAGCCACACUGGAACUGAGACACGGUCCAGACUCCUACGGGAGGCAGCAGUGGGGAAUAUUGCACAAUGGGCGCAAGCCUGAUGCAGCCAUGCCGCGUGUGUGAAGAAGGCCUUCGGGUUGUAAAGCACUUUCAGUCGUGAGGAAGGUGGUAGUGUUAAUAGCACUAUCAUUUGACGUUAGCGACAGAAGAAGCACCGGCUAACUCCGUGCCAGCAGCCGCGGUAAUACGGAGGGUGCGAGCGUUAAUCGGAAUUACUGGGCGUAAAGCGCAUGCAGGUGGUUUGUUAAGUCAGAUGUGAAAGCCCGGGGCUCAACCUCGGAAUAGCAUUUGAAACUGGCAGACUAGAGUACUGU
rnacentral:rRNA from 1 species